GAUGAACGCUGGCGGCGUGCCUAAUACAUGCAAGUCGAGCGAACAGACGAGGAGCUUGCUCCUCUGACGUUAGCGGCGGACGGGUGAGUAACACGUGGAUAACCUACCUAUAAGACUGGGAUAACUUCGGGAAACCGGAGCUAAUACCGGAUAAUAUAUUGAACCGCAUGGUUCAAUAGUGAAAGACGGUUUUGCUGUCACUUAUAGAUGGAUCCGCGCCGCAAUAGCUAGUUGGUAAGGUAACGGCUUACCAAGGCAACGAUGCGUAGCCGACCUGAGAGGGUGAUCGGCCACACUGGAACUGAGACACGGUCCAGACUCCUACGGGAGGCAGCAGUAGGGAAUCUUCCGCAAUGGGCGAAAGCUUGACGGAGCAACGCCGCGUGAGUGAUGAAGGUCUUCGGAUCGUAAAACUCUGUUAUUAGGGAAGAACAAAUGUGUAAGUAACUAUGCACGUCUUGACGGUACCUAAUCAGAAAGCCACGGCUAACUACGUG
rnacentral:rRNA from 1 species